CACAGAAACCAAACACAGAUAAUACCAUAGCAACAAAACACAGGUAAUACCACAACAAAACACAGGUAAUACCACAGCCAAACACAGGUAAUACCAUAGCAACCAAACACUGGUAAUACCAUAGCAACCAAACACAGGUAAUACCACAGCAACCAAACACAGAUAAUACCAUAGCAACCAAACACUGGUAAUACCAUAGCAACCAUACAACAGCAACCAAACACUGGUAAUACCACAGCCAAACACAGGUAAUACCAUAGCAACCAAACACUGGUAAUACCACAGCAACCAAACACAGGUAAUACCAUAGCAACCAAACACUGGUAAUACCACAGC
rnacentral:lncRNA from 1 species